AGGAUACCAUCUCAUUAGAUACAAAAUCAUAUGUAUCAUAUCAUUCAAAACAUAUUUGAUUCAUAACAAAUGGAGCAUAGAGUAAUUGGAGCAUAUCAAUGGCAGAUAGGACAUUUCAAAACAUAUCAGUUCAUAGCAAAUGGAGCACAGAGUAAUUGGAGCAUAUCAAUGGCAGAUAGGACAUUUCAGAACAUAUCAGUUCAUAGCAAAUGGAGCACAGGGUAAUUGGAGCAUAUCAAUGGCAGAUAGGACAUUUCAGAACAUAUCAGUUCAUAGCAAAUGGAGCACAGAGUAAUUGGAGCAUAUCAAUGGCAGAUAUGACAUUUCAGAACAUAUCAGUUCAUAGCAAAUGGAGCACAGAGUAAUUGGAGCAUAUCAAUGGCGUAUGAAAUGUUCCGGAGCAUAUCAACGACAUAUGGAACAUUUUGAAACAUAUCAACAGUGGAUGAAACAAUUCAGAGCAUAUCAAUAACAAAUACCGUACAGAAGCUCAAACGUCGUCUUUGACGUUGCAAACAUAUCAAUCUUAUCCAAAGCAUGUAUAGAAACACAUAACUAAAGCUCUGGAUAUCAUAUCAAACAUACAAAAGGUGUAGUGGGAUCUCAGUCAGAAUGUGAUUCAUCCAUUUCUGAAUGACCACCUGACAAAAGUCUCCCACGUCUGGGAGCUCCAUCCACCCACGUCUUGGUGAAGUCAAAGGGGGCCGGUAGAGCAUCGCAGGCUCUAAGCACAUACCCUUUACCAUUUCUGGCAAAGGUCCAGAAUAACACCCUUUACCAUUUCUGGCAAAGGUCCAGACAAUCCCACAACACCAGAGUACAAGAGGGCAGUUUUAACAAUAAGUAGCACAUAUCGGAAGCACACGCGGAACAACAAAACAUACAUGUGCCUUUACGAGUCAAUACGAAGUAAGCAAUAAUCUUUCACAAUGAUAUUUGGAUUUUGAAAGGAAAUGGAAUAGGCACAUAUCGAAAGCAAAUGCGGAACAAUGGGAUACACAUGUGCCUAAAUGAGUUAAUACGAUAUAGCAUAAACGUUACACAAUAGAUUUCAAGAAUGCAAAUAACUUCAAGGACAAGAGCAUACAAGAAUUCAAAGCAGUAAUAUAAAGCUCAAUUGAAUAAGAAGGCUAAAAGAUAUCAAUUUCCAAAGGAAUGAAACCAGAAUAUGAGAAAUCGACCAAAGCUCGAUUUCUGGCAGAAUACAAGAGGCACAUUGAACAGAUGAUUCAAACUAUCAAUCGUGCUCCAAUUUACUCAGAAAUAAUCAUUGGAUUAUACUUUCAGAUAAGACAGGCUUCAUAUGAAUCGAACUGUCCAACAGUGACAGUUACAAAUAAUUUGGUAAACAAGGGUCGUAGAACAAAAUCUCUGUUGGCAGAAUUCAUAAUGUCAAAUUCAACAGAUAACUGGGCAGGUGUUUGGAUUCCAAAUCUUUCAAUCCAUAUAUCAAAAGAAAGAUCUAUGAGUCUAGUUUCCAAUGAAAUAAGCUUUGAAUAAAUCCAUGUUUGCAACAGGGACUUAUAAGCAGUUCAGUAUCAAAAGGUUAGAAAUUACGAUCCCUGUUUUACAGAAUCUGUAGGCUCAUUUGAAACAGAAGUUUGGGUAGACAAACUUACUCUGAAUUCUUAAAAUAAGCUAUCAAAACAAAGGUUUAUGAGACUAUAUUCUGAUCAAAUAAGUUUUGUCCAAAUCAGAUGUCAAUACAUGAAGUUAUAAUCAUAACAAGGUAGAAAGGUCAGAAUCUUGGAAGUUGCACAGAUUCGAAUCGUUACGUCUAAACUGGAGAUAUAUCAAGUGCAAGGCUAGAACAAUUCAAAGUUCCUCAUAUUCAAAGCAAAUGUAGAGAUAAAAUUGCAGUGAGGAAAGAUCAGGAUACUUACAAUAGGAAAGAUUAGAACAAUUACAGGAGAAACGAACAGGAAACUUGCAAUAGGAAAUAUUAGAACAAUAACAGGAGAAACGAUUGGGAAACUUGCAAUAGGAAAGAUUAGAACAAUAACAGGAGAAACGAUUGGGAAACUUGC
rnacentral:lncRNA from 1 species